rnacentral:pre_miRNA from 10 species
GUGUGUAUAUGUAUGCAUGUGGUAUGUGUGUGGUAUAUGUAUGCCUGUGUACACACACACACACACACACACACACACACACACACAC